GAGAGACUGCCGUCGUAAGAUGUGAGGAAGGUGGGGAUGACGUCAAAUCAGCACGGCCCUUACGUCCGGGGCUACACACGUGUUACAAUGGGGGGUACAGAAGGCAGCUAGCGGGUGACCGUAUGCUAAUCCCAAAAGCCUCUCUCAGUUCGGAUCGAAGUCUGCAACCCGACUUCGUGAAGCUGGAUUCGCUAGUAAUCGCGCAUCAGCCACGGCGCGGUGAAUACGUUCCCGGGCCUUGUACACACCGCCCGUCAAGCCAUGGGAGCCGGGGGUACCUGAAGUACGUAACCGCAAGGAUCGUCCUAGGGUAAAACUGGUGACUGGGGCUAAGUCGUAACAAGGUAGCCGUACCGGAAGGUGCGGCUGGAACACCUCCUUU
rnacentral:rRNA from 1 species